UAUUAUUUGCUUUAUCCACAUGAUUGCUUCCCCCGAAACUUUCCUGGAAAAACUUGUUCUAUCUAUAUUGCCUCCCACUAUGUUUCAUCAUUGACAUAAGCUGGUACCCUGGAGGGUGUGGAACUGAGGCAGGAGUCAACCAGAGAUCUGCAUCUGUGGACACGGUUGCUGGUGGCUGCUUAUUUCGGAAGGAAAACCGAGAAGAGAAAAGCUAGCUUCCGAGGAGUCUGGGGGCGUAUAAAAUGUUUGAUGAAUGCGCCGGGACCCUCCCCGUGCGAGGAGCUUUGGCUGUGGCGCACCGGCCUCCCACCAAAGAGCACCGGGACGUGUCUGCUGCGAUUCAACCCAUGUAUCAAUGUGAUGAAAAGGGCCCCUUCGGUCAAGAAGUGGUUUUCCGUCACGCUCAAGCAUUUACCAACCUGGUUGCGGUGUGACCUCUGCAGGACGCAGCUUAAGAGGCAGGAGGACGGAGAUGGUUCAGAUUGA
rnacentral:lncRNA from 1 species